rnacentral:rRNA from 1 species
CCAGACUCCUACGGGAGGCAGCAGUGGGGGAUAUUGCACAAUGGGGGGAACCCUGAUGCAGCGACGCCGCGUGGGUGAAGAAGUAUUUCGGUAUGUAAAGCCCUAUCGGCAGGGAAGAAAUUGGACGGUACCUGACUAAGAAGCCCCGGCUAACUACGUGCCAGCAGCCGCGGUAAUACGUAGGGGGCAAGCGUUAUCCGGAUUCACUGGGUGUAAGGGAGCGUAGACGGCCAUGCAAGCCUGGAGUGAAAGCCCGGGGCCCAACCCCGGGACUGCUCUGGGAACUGUGCGGCUGGAGUGCAGGAGGGGCAGGCGGAAUUCCUGGUGUAGCGGUGAAAUGCGUAGAUAUCAGGAGGAACACCGGUGGCGAAGGCGGCCUGCUGGACUGCAACUGACGUUGAGGCCCGAAAGCGUGGGGAGCAAACAGGAUUAGAUACCCCAGUAG